rnacentral:rRNA from 1 species
GGUUAAGCGACUAAGCGUACACGGUGGAUGCCCUGGCAGUCAGAGGCGAUGAAGGACGUGCUAAUCUGCGAAAAGCGUCGGUAAGGUGAUAUGAACCGUUAUAACCGGCGAUGUCCGAAUGGGGAAACCCAGUGCAAUUCGUUGCACUAUCGUUAACUGAAUACAUAGGUUAACGAGGCGAACCGGGGGAACUGAAACAUCUAAGUACCCCGAGGAAAAGAAAUCAACCGAGAUUCCCCCAGUAGCGGCGAGCGAACGGGGAGCAGCCCAGAGUCUGAAUCAGCUUGUGUGUUAGUGGAACGGUCUGGAAAGUCCGACGGUACAGGGUGAUAGUCCCGUACACCAAAAUGCACAGGCUGUGAACUCGAAGAGUAGGGCGGGACACGUGGUAUCCUGUCUGAAUAUGGGGGGACCAUCCUCCAAGGCUAAAUACUCCUGACUGACCGAUAGUGAACCAGUACCGUGAGGGAAAGGCGAAAAGAACCCCGGCGAGGGGA